UACGUGGGGGGCAAGCGUUGUUCGGAAUUACUGGGCGUAAAGGGCUCGUAGGCGGCCAACUAAGUCAGACGUGAAAUCCCUCGGCUUAACCGGGGAACUGCGUCUGAUACUGGAUGGCUUGAAUCCGGGAGAGGGAUGCGGAAUUCCAGGUGUAGCGGUGAAAUGCGUAGAUAUCUGGAGGAACACCGGUGGCGAAGGCGACAUCCUGGACCGGUAUUGACGCUGAGUGAGCGAAAGCCAGGGGAGCAAACGGG
rnacentral:rRNA from 1 species